AACGAGAUCUGUAGCAAUACAGAUACUCGUGGCGAACGGGUGCGUAACACGUGGAUAACCUUCCUUCAGGUGGGGAAUAACCCAGUGAAAAUUGGGCUAAUACCGCAUAACAAGACGAGGACACAUGCUCUUGUCUUCAAAGGCGCAAGUCGCCAGAAGAGGGAUCCGCGGCCGAUUAGCUUGUUGGCGGGGUAACGGCCCACCAAGGCAAUGAUCGGUAGCCGGACUGAGAGGUUGGCCGGCCACACUGGAACUGAGACACGGUCCAGACUCCUACGGGAGGCAGCAGUGGGGAAUCUUGCGCAAUGGACGAAAGUCUGACGCAGCAACGCCGCGUGGGGGAUGAAGCUUCUCGGA
rnacentral:rRNA from 1 species